rnacentral:rRNA from 1 species
GACGAACGCUGGCGGCGUGCCUAACACAUGCAAGUCGAACGGAGUUAAGUCUUCGGAUUUAACUUAGUGGCGAACGGGUGAGUAACGCGUGAGGAACCUACCUUUCAGUGGGGGACAACAGUUGGAAACGACUGCUAAUACCGCAUAACGUCAUUUGGGGGCAUCCCUGAGUGGCCAAAGAUUUAUUGCUGAAAGAUGGCCUCGCGUCUGAUGAGAGAGUUGGUGGGGUAACGGCCUACCAAGUCGACGAUCAGGAGCCUGACUGAGAGGUUGAACGGCCACAUUGGGACUGGGAUACGGCCCAGACUCCUACGGGAGGCAGCAGUGGGGAAUAUUGGGCAAUGGGGGAAACCCUGACCCAGCAACGCCGCGUGAAGGAAGAAGGCCUUCGGGUUGUAAACUUCUUUUAGCAGGGACGAACACAAUGACGGUACCUGCAGAAAAAGCAACGGCUAACUACGUGCCAGCAGCCGCGUAAAAC